GCAGCGACCGCUUUCUCCUCUUCCUGGAUACAUCCUCACAUCGCACGAACGUGCACCUCCUCCGAUCCAGCGGUAGUUCUCCUCCCCGAUGAAGUCGUCCAGCAGCCACCGCCGUUUUGGGGGGCCAACGCAUCCAGCCAGACGGUCUUCUCUCCUCCUACAAGUUUCUCCUCCCCCGCUGCUUCAUCUGGCCACCGCCGUUGUUCAAUCUAGGAGGAAGCAGUGUCCAGCCAGCCAAUAAGCCAGAUGGGAUGCCAUGGUUUCUAAGGUCUGAAAUCGAGCACUGUGGCGUCGGCUGGACCUCAGCCAAAACAUGUGUCAUGUCCCUACAGCGGAGGACAGGGCGUCGCCAUAAGGUGGACCUCCACUGAUCGAGUCCAGCUGUACAGCGACGGAGUGUGAGGUCGUCUUCGGCACGUCGAGGUUAGCCUCUAGGAUGCGGUGACCGGUGGCGGUGGCUAUCGGCUUGGAGGAUGACGUGCUCCCUGUAUAGGAACAAUACCAGAGAAGGUAUUGUACCACACAUUCAGUACUGCCAAUCUGUUUUGCGGCCUGCCUUUGGACAUUAUGGACGGCAAGAAAUAAUAGGACGUUCAAUGAAAUCAACACGACAAAAUCUGGACUCUUUAAAUAAAUAGCAGAUGAGCUAAUGAGUCAAGUUAUGGGCAACAAGGUCUGAGACUUCAGCAAGAGAAGAUAGCAUUAAGCUGUGGCUGAUCAGUUUCGUCCCAACGAUCCACCCUGUUGUUUGACUUUCCUUUAUUUUUAAUUAUUUUUAUUUUUAUUUUAUCUCCAUGAUGCAAAUGUAACAAUUGCUGCGAUGCUGAAUGAAGCUAAAAGGUAUAGGAUCCUCCACAUUUUUCCUCCAAAAAAAAGCACCUAAACUUAGUCUCCAAAAUCUAGGUGAGUAUUAUUAGCGUAUUCUCAUUCCAUAUAUGUCCGAUUCAUUCUUGCUUAUAAAUCAUCAAUGUAAUAGUUACAAUUUGCAUUGAACAAUAUUAUGCCAGAUUGAGUAAACCUUCACUGGUUUUUAGUUGAGAUAAAAUUAUGGCUGGGUAUUUCUAUUUUACUGCAUGUCGACUCCUGAACAAUUAAAGACAUGAUAUGAGGUUCAUUAGAUGUUCUUUUCUUCAGUUAGUUCUGAAAGAAGGAACUAAGGUGGAUUUUUUGCAGUUUGCACAUUUUUUUACUUGGUAAAUAGUUCAUCUAUAACAUGAGCCAUCCUUGGUUUCAACUUGGAUCAAAAUAUGGUAUUUAUCUACUUUCUAUGCCAUACUCUUACUCAUUACUGGUACCAUAUCCUUUCUUUCUACUUUCAAUCAGCAGAACUAUUUUUUAGAUCUUUUCAUUUAGGUUAGAAAAUAAUAAGGUAGUAAGAGAUUCAAACUAUUGAGCAAGUAGUACCAAGUUCAGGAGAUAAAGUGAUGGAUGGCAUGGAUUCUUGGCUCGAUAUUGACUGUGGCUUUGAGAGUGGAAGUUCAGGUGUGCCCAACAAGUAGAAAUUGCUAAAUUACAUUAAGAUUCGUGUCUUACAUAUGCCCUACCUUUUCUAAGAGUUUUCGUUCAUAGUUAAAGUUUACUGUCUUUAUCACUGCUUUAUUCAUGCAUAGUAAGGAAACUUCUUGAAUUUGCUUGAAUAAAACUAGCUCUUCUUCAUAUUGAUAGGAAAAGUUCAGAAUCUAGUUAGUAGAGUGGAUUUUCAAGGUUGCUCCUGAUUUGCCAAGAGAUUUCAGAAGUAAAUGAUUCCAAGAUGAACACUAAGAAUGUAAUGGAAUAGAAGAAUCCGCACAAAAAUUUUGUAACCCUACAACUUUGAUUGUUUUAGCAUGUGCAUUGCUUGCUCUAUUAGUAAAAGUACCACUGUCAAGUUAAAUUAUCCAUUGGUUGCUUCAUUGCCUUUUGUACGUGCUUGCAUAGAGCAUAAUUAGAUAACCAACACAAACAUAGUGUUCCUAGCUGAAUGUUUCAUUUCACCAAGAAUGGUUGAUAUUAAAGCUAUCCAAAAGUACGCGUCAGCCGUAAUUUGCAUCCUAUGUCUGCUACUUACUUACGGCACAUGAGUGAGUUUGUCGAAGAAAACGUAAAAGAUGGUGCAUUCCUGUUAUACUUUAACCAGAUUACCCCUUUAUGUCUUUUGCACAAAAUGAUAUAAGUUCUAUUCCAUGAAUGGAUCACCAAUAGAGAGAUUGAACUAAUAAUACAAUGGCCUUCAGUUUGUUGUGUGGUAACCCAAAUUGUUCAGCUCAAAAUAACUGGCCUACCUUGCAACUUAAAUUCAGUGCCAAUAAUUGAAUAUGUGCUAGCUCCAUUUUGUCUGGUGAGAACGUACACGACGGUAACAAGUGACAGUCCUUCGGAUCUUGGCAACACAUUUAUAACGUACAAAUGUACUGGAUGGUCUGCUACUAUUGAAGCUAUACACCCAUGGUUCGGGUAUCUAGCUGUUUUGGCCCAAGUAUCUCCAGAUGGCAAGUGAGUGACCACUGCUCGAUGUGUCAUAUAUGUGGAUGCUAUCUUAGAUGGAGCGCUUCCUGUCUAAGUAUAGAACUAGGUUCAUGUUCAAGGACUCAGAUUCGACAAUCCAGUACUUGAUGGUUAUGGAUUUUCAGUGCUCAUACUAUCUACAGAGAUGGAUCCCUCACAGACAUAAUGAACUUAGUUUAGAUAGGAAAACCAUGUAGCCGCUACUCUGUUUUCUUUUGUACCUUCCUAUUGAAUGUGUUACUACCUUCUUCAGUUCUGUUCUUUGUACUGUUUUUGUUGCAUAUGUUUGCAGUCAACAAAUA